rnacentral:rRNA from 1 species
UACGAAGGGUGCAAACGUUGCUCGGAAUUAUUGGGCGUCAAGCGCACGUAGGCGGCUUUGCAAGUCCCAUGUGAAAUCCCACGGCUUAACCGUGGAAGUGCAUGGGAAACUGCAGAGCUUGAGUACUUAAGAGGAUCGCGGAAUUCCCGGUGUAGAGGUGAAAUUCGUAGAUAUCGGGAGGAACACCAGUGGCGAAGGCGGCGAUCUGGGAAGAUACUGACGCUGAGGUGCGAAAGCGUGGGGAGCAAACAGG